AUGAACGCUUGGCAGGCACGUUUCGAUGACUACUCCCUCGUUCAGUGCGGCAUGCUUUACAGCCUAGAGCCGGGGCUCCAAAAGCGUUUUGAGAGACAUGGAGCAUAUGAGAUGUUCGAAGAGCUGAAAAUGGUUUUCCAAGCUCAUGCCCGGGUCGAGAGAUAUGAAGUCUCCGACAAAUUCUUUAGUUGUAAGAUGGAGGAAAACAGUUCUGUCAGUGAGCACAUACUCACUAUGUCUGGGUUGCAUAACCGCUUGACUCAGCUGGGAGUUAAUCUCCCGGAUGAUGCAGUCAUUGACAGAAUCCUCCAGUCGCUUCCACCAAGCUACAAGAGCUUUGUGAUGAACUUCAAUAUGCAGGGGAUGGAAAAGACCAUUCCUGAAGUAUUUGUUAUGCUGAAAUCAGCGGAGGUAGAAGUCAGGAAGGAACAUCAAGUGUUGAUGAUCAAUAAAACCACUAAGUUCAAGAAAGGCAAGGGUAAAAAGAUCUUCAAGAAGGACGGCAAGGAGGUUGCCGCGCCCGGCAAGCAAGCUGCCGGGAAGAAGCCAAAGAAUGGACCCAAGCCCGAGACUGAGUGCUUUUAUUGCAAGGGAAGCGGUCACUGGAAGCGGAACUGCCCUAAGUACUUAACGGAUAAGAAGGCCGGCAAAACAAAAGGGGCUGCAGAAUAA
rnacentral:rRNA from 1 species